rnacentral:rRNA from 1 species
UUGUGAGGUUAAGCGACUAAGCGUACACGGUGGAUGCCCUGGCAGUCAGAGGCGAUGAAGGACGUGCUAAUCUGCGAUAAGCGUCGGUGAGGUGAUAUGAACCGUUAUAACCGGCGAUUUCCGAAUGGGGAAACCCAGUGUGUUUCGACACACUAUCAUUAACUGAAUCCAUAGGUUAAUGAGGCGAACCGGGGGAACUGAAACAUCUAAGUACCCCGAGGAAAAGAAAUCAACCGAGAUUCCCCCAGUAGCGGCGAGCGAACGGGGAGGAGCCCAGAGCCUGAAUCAGUGUGUGUGUUAGUGGAAGCGUCUGGAAAGGCGCGCGAUACAGGGUGACAGCCCCGUACACAAAAAUGCACAUAUUGUGAGCUCGAUGAGUAGGGCGGGACACGUGGUAUCCUGUCUGAAUAUGGGGGGACCAUCCUCCAAGGCUAAAUACUCCUGACUGACCGAUAGUGAACCAGUACCGUGAGGGAAAGGCGAAAAGAACCCCGGCGAGGGGAGUGAAAAAGAACCUGAAACCGUGUACGUACAAGCAGUGGGAGCCUCUUAAUGGGGUGACUGCGUACCUUUUGUAUAAUGGGUCAGCGACUUAUAUUCUGUAGCAAGGUUAACCGAAUAGGGGAGCCGAAGGGAAACCGAGUCUUAACUGGGCGUUAAGUUGCAGGGUAUAGACCCGAAACCCGGUGAUCUAGCCAUGGGCAGGUUGAAGGUUGGGUAACACUAACUGGAGGACCGAACCGACUAAUGUUGAAAAAUUAGCGGAUGACUUGUGGCUGGGGGUGAAAGGCCAAUCAAACCGGGAGAUAGCUGGUUCUCCCCGAAAGCUAUUUAGGUAGCGCCUCGUGAAUUCAUCUCCGGGGGUAGAGCACUGUUUCGGCAAGGGGGUCAUCCCGACUUACCAACCCGAUGCAAACUGCGAAUACCGGAGAAUGUUAUCACGGGAGACACACGGCGGGUGCUAACGUCCGUCGUGAAGAGGGAAACAACCCAGACCGCCAGCUAAGGUCCCAAAGUCAUGGUUAAGUGGGAAACGAUGUGGGAAGGCCCAGACAGCCAGGAUGUUGGCUUAGAAGCAGCCAUCAUUUAAAGAAAGCGUAAUAGCUCACUGGUCGAGUCGGCCUGCGCGGAAGAUGUAACGGGGCUAAACCAUGCACCGAAGCUGCGGCAGCGACGCUUAUGCGUUGUUGGGUAGGGGAGCGUUCUGUAAGCCUGCGAAGGUGUGCUGUGAGGCAUGCUGGAGGUAUCAGAAGUGCGAAUGCUGACAUAAGUAACGAUAAAGCGGGUGAAAAGCCCGCUCGCCGGAAGACCAAGGGUUCCUGUCCAACGUUAAUCGGGGCAGGGUGAGUCGACCCCUAAGGCGAGGCCGAAAGGCGUAGUCGAUGGGAAACAGGUUAAUAUUCCUGUACUUGGUGUUACUGCGAAGGGGGGACGGAGAAGGCUAUGUUGGCCGGGCGACGGUUGUCCCGGUUUAAGCGUGUAGGCUGGUUUUCCAGGCAAAUCCGGAAAAUCAAGGCUGAGGCGUGAUGA